rnacentral:rRNA from 1 species
AGGAUGAACGCUGGCGGCGUGCUUAACACAUGCAAGUCGAACGAUGAAGCGGAGCUUGCUCUGUGGAUUAGUGGCGAACGGGUGAGUAACACGUGAGUAACCUGCCCUUGACUCUGGGAUAAGCACUGGAAACGGUGUCUAAUACCGGAUACGAGCUUCAGCCGCAUGGCUAGGAGUUGGAAAGAAUUUCGGUCAAGGAUGGACUCGCGGCCUAUCAGGUAGUUGGUGAGGUAAUGGCCCACCAAGCCUACGACGGGUAGCCGGCCUGAGAGGGUGACCGGCCACACUGGGACUGAGACACGGCCCAGACUCCUACGGGAGGCAGCAGUGGGGAAUAUUGCACAAUGGGCGCAAGCCUGAUGCAGCAACGCCGCGUGAGGGACGACGGCCUUCGGGUUGUAAACCUCUUUUAGUAGGGAAGAAGCGAAAGUGACGGUACCUGCAGAAAAGCACCGGCUAACUACGUGCCAGCAGCCGCGGU